UACGUAGGGGGCGAGCGUUGUCCGGAAUGAUUGGGCGUAAAGGGCGCGUAGGCGGCCUGUCAAGUCAGUAGUGGAAGUCCAUCUUUCAAGGAUGGAAGUGCUACAGAAACUGAUGGGCUUGAGUGCAGGAGAGGUUAUCGGAAUUCCCGGUGUAGCGGUGAAAUGCGUAGAGAUCGGGAGGAACACCAGUGGCGAAGGCGGCUUUCUGGACCAUAACUGACACUGAGGCACGAAGGCGUGGGGAUCAAACAGGAUUAGAUACCCCCGUA
rnacentral:rRNA from 1 species